GAUGAACGCUGGCGGCGUGCUUAACACAUGCAAGUCGAGCGAACAGACGCGGUGCUUGUUCCUCUGACUUUAGCGGCGGCCGGGUGAGUAACACGUGGAUAACCUCCUUAUACCAUCUGGUUAACUUCGGCAAACCGGAGUUAAUACCGGAUAAUAUUCUGAAUCUCUUGGUUCAUGAGUGUAAGACGGUUUUUGUUUCACUUGUAGAUGGAUCCGCGCCGUAUUAGCUAGUUGGUAAGGUGACGGCUUACCAAGGCGACGAUGCGUAGCCGACCUGAGAGGGGGGUCGGCGGCAAUAGAGCUGAGACAAGGUCCAGAAUCCUACGAGAGGCAGCAGUAGGGAAUCUUCCGCAAUGGGCGAAGGCCUGACGGAGCAACGCCGCGUGAGGGAUGAAGGUCUUCGGAGCGUAGAGCACUGUUAUUAGGAGAGAAGAAAUGUGUAAGUGACUGUGCGCGUCUUGACGGUACCUAGACAGAAAGCCACGGCUAACUACGUG
rnacentral:rRNA from 1 species